GGCAUAUGGAGGUUCCCCAGGCUAAGCAGCAGCCACAGCCACAGCAACACAGAAUCUGAACGGCGUCUGCGACCUACACCACUGCUCAGGGCACCCUCGGACCAGGGAACGCCAACACCCAACCCACUGAACAAGACCAGGGAUUGAACCAGCAUCCUCAUGGACAAUAGUCGGAUUUGUUUCCACUGCGCCACAAUGGCAACUCCCGAAUUUUUUUUUUUAAUCUUUGUAAAACUUCUUAAACAAUAGAGGACUUACAUGCUUUAUCAUAGUAACACUCAACUAAGACACGGUGAUUUGUAAUAGAAUUUGCAGCUCACAAACCUGACACAUGAUCCCUUCAACUCGUAUUCAUAGUUUUGACAACUAUCAACAAAACAUUCACUCCCUUGAUUUCUAUCCCUUCCAUCUCUCCCUUAAAAAGGCAACUGAAAUUUGACACUGGUUUCUUUAUGGUUUGCUUUCAGCUGAAUGACGCGGGCAAGACAGAGUGUCUCUAGGGCAAAAGAAACAUAUGAUUGCAGACUUUGGUGCUGGCCAAAACUUCGGUACAGGAGUCUCAAAUUUUGCUAUCAACAUAUACAAUUUCCAAAUAGCUACAAAUAAUAUUUAAAAUUCACAAAUAGAUAAACUCUUCCUUUCAGCAGAGUUUACAUAGAUUUCCCCAUUUAGUAAUAAUAUGCCUUGACUCACUUAAAAUUUUCUUCCAUUUUACUUUUCAUAUUGUUGUGACACUAUUUCAGCAUCCACCCAGGUAGAUGCUAUUUUCUGAAGCUGACAUGUUUGUCCCCCCUUAGUGCCCCCCACAAAACAUGUAAAUGAAUCAUUGAUCCCCCACCAAGUUACUUUCAGCAAAUAAUUGUUUGCAUAAUUAUGAAGAGCCAUUCUGAACAAUAGGGAUAGAAUAGCAGUAAGAAAAAACUCUUGCUUUCAUGGAACUUCCAUUAUAGUGGGGGGUUAGUCAACAAUAAACUGAGUGAUAUAGUAUUCAGGAAUUUCCAAAGAAACAGAAUGGAUAUGAUAGAUGGAUAGAUAGCUGGAUGGAUGGAUGGAUAAAUAGAUUUAUUACAAGGACUUGGCAACUGGCUCAUGGAAUUAUAGAGGCUGGCAAGUCCAAAAUCUGCAAAGCUAAUGUCCCAGUUUGAGUCUGAAGACCAGUAGGCUGCUGUAGAACCAGGAAGAACCAACAUCCCAGUUUGGAGGUUGUCAGGCAGGAGAAUUCUCUCUCAUGUAAAGAAGGAUCAGCCUUAUUCAUUAUCUUCAAGUGAUUGGAUAAGGCCCACCCACAUUAUAGAGAUUAAAUUAUUAGACCACAUUAUAUUUAUGUGGUCUAAUAAUUUAAAUGUUAAUCUCAUUCAAAAAGCACCCCCACAGAAAUAUCCAGAAUGAUAUGUGACAAAUAUCUGAGCCCCAUGACCCAGUCACACUGACACAAAAUUAUCCAUCACAAGAGAUAAAAAAAUAAGUUGAAAAAUAAAUAUAGUGUUUUAUCACUAUUAGCCCACAGAGAAAAUACAACCGGUGAUCUUAUUGCAUGGCGAUAUGACUGAAGAAGAGAAGAGGUGAAAAUAGGCAUGUGUUUUAGUUACAAUACUGUCCCAAACUUUAAAAACAUCAGUAUUCAAAUGCCAUCUUGUGGCUGAUUUAUUCACAUUGUGUCAUUCAUCUCACAUCUGUUAAAAUCUGUUAAAAUGUCUACUGGAAUCAAUGGAGUUGUUAUCUGAAGCCUCCAGGUUUUUUCUCCUAAUUCAUGUGUAUUAUUAGUUGUAAUUCCAUGCUUGAUGGGUUCAGGAUACAGGCAACCAGGCCAGUUUUACUCCAGAUUCAAAUGCCUUCUUUGGUUAUAACGGAUUUAAUACAAGCACACUAUAAAAUAAAAUAUGCAUCAUCCGUGUACAUAAGGAUGCCAUAACAGAACUAUUUACACACUUAAACUAACAUGCAGACUCACUUUACAACCCCUAUGUUUAGUGCAACAAAAACAUCAUUACAUAGAAUAAACAGGACUGAAUAUUUUCCCAAAUUCUAAGCAUCCAUAAAUAGCAGUCUGCAUUCUUGGCCCAGUGUUAUAAUCUUUGCCUUGUAACUUUAUGCAGUCUAAUAAAAGAUUUAUCAUAAAAGUGGUCUUGAGUAUGACCCAUAACCUAUGAUUUGUCUUUAAGACACAUUGUCAUUAUUGUGUAGACCAAAACUUUACAUUCUUUUCAUACACAACCACUCCCCAACUCCUUUUUUUGUUUGUUUUGUUUUGUUUUGAAAGUUUAGUUCUUUCUUUCUUUUUUCUUUUAUUAUUAUUUUUUAGUAGUUAUUUCCCCAAUAUGGUUUUUUUUUCUACUGUACAGCAUGUUGACCCAGUUACACAUACAUAUAUACAUUCUUUUUUCGCACAUUAUCAUACUCCAUCAUAAGGAACUAGACAUAGUUGCCAGUGCUACACAGCAGGAUC
rnacentral:lncRNA from 1 species